rnacentral:rRNA from 1 species
GUGCCAGCAGCCGCGGUAAUACGUAGGUGGCAAGCGUUGUCCGGAUUUAUUGGGCGUAAAGGGAGCGCAGGCGGUCUUUUAAGUCUGAAUGUGAAAGCCCUCAGCUUAACUGAGGAAGAGCAUCGGAAACUGAAAGACUUGAGUGCAGAAGAGGAGAGUGGAACUCCAUGUGUAGCGGUGAAAUGCGUAGAUAUAUGGAAGAACACCAGUGGCGAAGGCGGCUCUCUGGUCUGUUACUGACGCUGAGGCUCGAAAGCAUGGGUAGCGAACAGGAUUAGAUACCCUGGUAGUCCAUGCCGUAAACGAUGAGUGCUAGGUGUUGGGAGGUUUCCGCCUCUCAGUGCUGCAGCUAACGCAUUAAGCACUCCGCCUGGGGAGUACGACCGCAAGGUUGAAACUCAAAUAAAUUGACGG